AGAAGCCAACAAUGUGGAUUUAAUCAUCUACAUUUCAGAAAUGCAGACCAAAUGUCUGUGAAGAUGUCCAUUUCAUCCAAACAUUUCUUAGAUAUUUAUUUCAAAGCUCCCUGCUCAGUCAUUCCAACACUCCAUUCAUAUUGUAAGGAAUAUUGAUUUUUCUUCUAUUAGCAGUGGUAUGGGAGUUCUUGAGAAUCCCACAGAUUAGUUACCCUUAUUCUCUGUUAGACCUGUUUGAAUUGCCAAGAGGUCAUUUUGCAGCACAGGUAGGACUUCAGAGUAUCUCCUUAAAGUCUAUUUAAAUCAGAAACAUUUUUCCCUAUAGAAAUCACAUAAUGAUAUUGCUUUAUCAGGUCUAGUGUGGAAUAUAGAACUAUGGUUACUCCUCUGGUUGCACUAGCUGAAAAGCCACUGCCAGGGCGAAUGACAGUCUAUAGCACAAAGAAAAUAGACAACUUUGUUUCCUACAAGAAAGUUCAGUCGAAUUGCAUGUACUAUUUAUUUUAAAGAUAUAUUUAUUUUAUUUUAACCCCUAAACACCUUUCUCCCUCUCUCGUCUGUGCUCAAAUUCAGCUCCAAGUUAACCAUAACCAUUUCCUCAGUGGUAAGUAGCAGGAUUCUCAUGGAUGGGCACAGGGGAAACUGUGUAGCCCUUCCAUCUGGUAGGAUGAAGCCCCUUGUCUUCAUCAUCUGGGUUUGGCUAAUUAGCUGAGUUGAAAGCAUUGCAAAAAUUUAGCCCAUGGAAAUCACACUCCUGUAAAACCAGAAGCCCAUGGAAGCAUUAUUUUUUUAAAAAAUGAAUUGAUGUUUUAAAGAAAAAAUAACCCCUAAGUCUUGUGUCCUCCUUAAUGUGUAUUCUUUUAAGCAUCAGGAAAUUUGCCUUUGCUUAUUACUUUUCUAAAUGUAUUCAUUAUUCUUGAAUUGUUUUUGAUAUUAAGAAAUAUUUUCCUGGUAAGAUUCUGCCUCUCUGCUGAAUCUUUCAUCUAUUCAUUAAUUUUUGAUGUCUGCAAUGACUUAGUAAUUCCAGAGGAGGCAGGAAAGCUGUGAGGUUUAUACUUGUUGAGAAGCUGAAGGAGGUAAUGAUUUUUUUUUUUUUUUUGAGAAAACAGCAUUAAAAUAAUUUUUUAAAUUGUGUCUUUUCACCUGGGAUACUUUAACCAAGAGUUAAGUAACUGUUUAGUCUGGACUGUGAAUUUCAGCACAGACAUGAGCAAGGCAGCGUGUUGAAGGUGGCUUUGCCUAGGGGUUUCUCUCAGACAGUAGACAUGUUCCCUCUGAGUCACAGAUUCCCCAUUUCCUCCUUUCAGGAGGGCUGUGCUGGUUUGGACACUGAACUAGGACAGCCCAUUCAGUGCUCAGCAGUGAAAAGAGGAGUCCUGUUCCCUUUUCUCCCCUUCCAGCUCAGGUGCAGAGAAUGUUAAGCUGUUUUAUUUCCUUGUCCCACAUUCUAACAACACUUGGUCACAGAAAAGCUGAGAAACCCCACCCAAUUCUGUUUUCCAGAGGUUGAUAAGUGCAUUUUUAAACACGUGACAUAAAAGCCAGAAGAAUCCCGUGUAACCCCUCAGGCAUUCCCCACGCAGGACUCAGCAGCCUCUCAGAGACCACAUCAAUCAUCUUAUUCCCCCGUUUCCCCAGCUGAUUCCCCUUUCACCAUUCACUGGAGGGAUGCUAAUCCUGAAAACACUCCCAAGGAUGCGUUUGAAUGUGGUGGAUUUGAGCUCUGCUCAUCAGCUAAGCAGCUCUGAAUGGUGGCAUUGUCACAGCUCAGCAGGUCGUGCCAAGGGGACCCAGCACCCUCUGGAGAAGCUGAAACUGCUCCAUCAGUGAUGGUGCAACCAUGAUGAAAGGUUUGAGGGCCACCUUUCCUCCAGCCUGCCUCCCUGGCUGAAGUGUUAGAGCUCAGCUGGAGCCAUGAUCCAGCGCUAAUGAGCAUUUCUAGCUUGCAGCAUGUGAAUAGGGACUACUGAUGUGUUUAAUGUUAAACAUGUGCCUGCCUGCCUGCCUGCCUGGAGAGGGGCCUAAAAGCCAUGACAGAAAAGUCUAUACUAAUGAAGGGCAUUAUUACUCUCUUCCCUUUGAAAUCUGGUGGCAGAAUUCCCAGUGGGGGAAUUCCCAAUAGGAAUUCCCAGUAAAGCCAAAGGUGGCAUAAGCAUGAAGAUGCUUUGAGUGCAGAGAGAACAGAGAGCACUCAGGGAGAAGAGGAGGCAGAGUGGUGUAAAGGUUCUUUGUGCAGAAGGAUGCCAGGUGGUAACUGCAGGGACACGGGCAGUGCUGCCAGGCUCUGCUCGGGUCCCGUGGGGGGAUCAGAGUGCAGCAGGCCCAGGCUCUGCUGGCAGUGAAAUGCCAAGGCGUGUUCUGCUGUAUCUCCAGCUGUAUCUCCCUGUGGUGGCGUCCCACAGAACAACGAUGCCUCCAUUGUGGCUGCCUCACUCUUAUUAUGAAGUGGCUUGUCUAAAGAAAACUAAGAAGGGUGGGGAUUUUUUUUUUUUUUUACAUAUACAUGGAGUAAAAACAAUCCAAAUAUGCUUUAAUGGUUCUCAACAUGAUACUGUCAAUUCUCACCACAGGGUGGAAUUUGUUGGUGGAAAUUAAAUUAAAUUAAAACAGAAGAGUUUGGCUAUUGCUAAUGGGUACUACUGGGAGCCCUAAAAGCAGUUUGCAGUGUAGAACCAUAACAGCAGUGAACAUCCUUUAAUUCCCAGAAUUGCUUGGGUUUCACAGGGUCAUUUUGGCCUAUUCUGCUGCACUGCUGAGAAGUUGCUCUUUCCCUGUCUCUCUAGGUCCAUAAAGUCUGAAGAAUUUGGGAAAUGGCUACGGGCACCAAAUUAGUCUUUUUCUUUCUCACUCUUUUUUUUUUUUUUUUUUUCCUCCUUCAUUAAAUUAACUACUUUAGUUUGGAAGUUAGCAAUAAGUCAGUAGAAUUUGCAAACAACAGAUUUCUCUACUCUUUCAUUAAGAAAGUUUUAAAGAGCUUUCAGGAAAUGAGAGGUUAUCCCCUGUGUUGGGAAUAAACUGUGGUAUAAAAUACAAAUAUAAGUGGGAUUCUGAUUAAAUUAUUGAAGCAGAAAGAUUGCAGGUUUUUUUAAGGAGCAUGCUUAGGAGUAAAUGAACAGAAUAGUCCAGAUACUGUAGUAGGAGCUUCAGUUCUAAUUUCUGGUUUGGGUUUUGUGUUAGGUUUUUUUUUUUUUUUUUUUUUAAUAGUUACCUGUUAAACAACAUAAAAUCUAUAUAUACACUUACAGAUAUAUAUAUAUAUUCAGAAUAUUUAUAUGCAUUAUUUAAUUCAAUAAUGCUGUGAAGUUUGUUGGGAUGGAAAGUGGCAUAAAGAGGAAAACUUACACAUUUGAAACAGCACUAUUAUUUCUGUGUCUUUGAUUUGGUUCCCACUGGAAUAAACAAGAACCACACAUUAGUUGUGUGGAAGCAGGAUUUCAACUUCACAGACCCCGAAAGUUUGGCAGUCCCUUGGAGGCCAAGGUAAUUUGGUAUUUAGCAAUCCGAGCCUUGCGGUGGGCACAGUGCGUUUUGAAGGCAUUCAGAGCCGUCCUUGGGUGAGGGAGUGAUGCUUGCAGAGGACCCCAGUGAAUCCCUGCUGUUUUAAAAUGAGAUUAAGCCAUCAUGAGAUGUGGACUGGCUAACCCCAAACCAGGCGCGUUCGCCUGCAGCGCAGCCGCUAAAUUGUUCUGACAUCAGGAACCGCAGCGAGGGAGCUUGGCCUCAGAAGUGAGUCAAAGCAGCAUCUUUGUCACCAGUCAUUUUCUAUUUAUAAUGACACAGAUCUAUUUUAUAAUCACGGGGAGGCACAACAGGAGUGUGCUUUGUUCUGCCUAAAUCGCAUUUCUCGUGCGGGUGCGUUUAAACACAGCCCUUGGCCCCUUGCCCCACACCACACACACCCAGGGCGGGCAGUUCUGGCACAACAAUGCACACCCUGUCAUGCUUGAAUGCUCAAAGCCUCCAGUGCUGGAGCAAUAAACUCCUGCUAAAUGGCUUAAAAAUGCUCCCUUAAGUGCACCGAGCUGCCCCGCUGCUGCCUCACUUCUCAUUUCCAAUGAUGUUGCGUUUCUAAGCCUUGUGUUUCAAAGAAGCCAGGAGUAUGUCGAGUUGUUUAGUGAUGGAAAUUGCAGGGCAUUAUUAACUGUAAGAAUUUAAGAUGAAAAACCCCACUCCCCAACCCAACCCUGGUGCAAACCUGACAGCUUUUACUCCUGCCUGCGUUUUCAGAGGCUAUGAACAAAUUUCCAACAUCUGCUUGGUUUGGUUCCUGGAGAACUGGUCCUCAUCUGUGCAAACCCUCAGCACUAUGAUGGUAACACCCUCUUUGCUGCCUUUUUUUUUUUUUUUUCCUAAUGAAGGGUCCUGCUGUGUAUUUCCUAGAAAAUUAUGAUUUUGUGAUCAAUAGAUUUCUUUUUGUAACGUGUUUUCAGUUCUAAAGCCUGAAGAUCAAAACCAAGUUGCAUAGUAAGACUUGGGGUUGAGCAGAGUGCUUUUUUCCUCUCCAAAACCAUCAUUUUUCAAAUCCUGACUAAUUUAGAGCACAAUUCUGGUUACUUUGAGGAGGUCUGAGGUUGAAGGAGAGGAAGGGGAGCCCAUUGAGAGAGGCUAGCAGGAACCAGUCUCUGUAAGUCUUCAUAGAUACGUGGACAAGUUUCCUAUCAGUGUGUGAGUAACCUGUGCAGAGACCUGCAUGGCCCCAGUGGACCCACAGUUGCUUAAAACCUGCACUGAUAUUCAAAGACAAAAUUUGGGCUGUGAACCAUGACAUGAUGAUCAGACAUGAUACCUCUUCAGGGCAUUAUACCGGCAAAAAAGAGCUCAUUUGAAAGGACACUCAAAUUUUUAGCUACAGGUCAAGACCUGAGUUUACAUGACUCGAUCUUCUCCUCCAGAAUGUCAUUAAUCCUAGAAAUGGCUAAUGGCUUCAGGACUCCCACCUGAAGUACUGGGCUAAAAGCAAGAUCUGAAACUCAUAUGGAGAAAUCAGGAAUUACCUUCAAACUCAGACCGGGUAAGCUUCAAAGGAAAGUAAUUUAUUUGUAAACAACUAUUUUGUAGUAUCUGACAGCGAAAAGUAACUGUGUAUCCAGAGGUCUUCAUCAGAUAAGAAAGCAAGCCAGGAUCCCUUUGUGUACUUGUGUUUUUCAGUCAAGGAGCAUCCUCUCUUAAUGUGCAAUUUUAGAUUAAAGUGCAACCUCUUUGGGUAGGAACUCUGUAUUUGUUCUCUGCAUGUGCAGCUCUUUACAUGACAAGACUAUGAUUAGGGCCUUUGUGUGCUGCUCUAACCCUCAUAACCCGUAACAAUAGGAAAAAUAUAAUUAAAAUGUCAUUGCAGUUCACCUUUAUUAUUAUGAUUGUGAGACUCUGUCAACUGUGAAUAAAAUAAUGUCCUUUUUGUAUAAUAGGUAGUAUAUUUUAUUAUUGAAGAAAGAGUUAAAUUUAAUUUUUAAACACAAAAAUAUUAUCUGCUCAUUGUUUCAUUUUAAGCUUUUGAAUAUAUAAGCAAAUAUUUAUUUUUUAUCCUUCAAAUGAGUAUGUGUUAAAUGAAGAAACCCACCUUCCUGAAUUGGAGCUGUUUAUAAUUAUAUUCCAAGAGUGAUUAACACCUUAUAAUUUGAAUAAAAGUGGUUUAUUUUCUCAUUGGGUUAUUGUAGAA
ensembl:lncRNA